GGGCUUUUGAGUCCUUUCCACCACCCUUGUUAUUCCUCAGAGCAUACUGCUUUCAGGGAGAUGGUAUCAAUCCCCCUAUGUUCAGAAUGAGAAUCCAGCAGGUAAUGGGUCAGGGAACUUCUGGGUGAUCACUCACUCCCAUAUCCCAUUAGAGUUUGGGAGUGGGGGUCUGGCUUAGCCUGCACUGUGGGGCCAGGUAUGCAGCACACCCCAGGUACAGCCCAGCAGCAGCUGCUUCUGCUUUACUUGGUUCAUUUCCCAGACGUCCCUGUGGUUUGUCUGAUUGGGGAUCUCUUGUCUUUGCAGGUUGCUUUCACAACCAAAAUUUAUCACCCUAAUAUCAACAGCAAUGGCAGCAUCUGCCUCGAUAUCCUGCGGUCUCAGUGGUCUCCAGCGUUGACUGUGUCAAAAGUUCUCUUGUCCAUCUGCUCACUGCUCUGCGACCCCAACCCCGAUGACCCCCUGGUGCCAGAGAUAGCCCACACCUACAAGGCCGACAGAGAGAAGUACAACAGACUAGCAAGAGAGUGGACACAAAAAUAUGCUAUGUAAGUGCCUUGGAGGUUUUACAUGAGACACUGUCCAAGAGAAGCUGGCAGAGAGGUCUUCCCUUAAAACUUUGGGCUGUUGGCUGAGCCAUUCAAAGAGUAUCAUCUGUUCUUCAAACAAAUGUUGGUCACCCACUCUCUCCAGCUGCAGCAUGUUGGUGCCAUUUUCAGCAAUUGUGGCUUUGACAGUGCCACCUCUUUGAUGCCAAAUCAGCAACCAUUGUUGUUAUGAUCUGCAGUCUUCCUGGUGACACUGGAAUCUCUCUCUCUGCCGCCUCAGUUUGUCUGCUGGUCUCUUGGGGGGCCAGGCCCUGCACGUCUCUCCUACCCGGCCUCAAAUGGUGCUGCUGCCCAUGAUGGUACCACACCAGGGCCUCAGCCUGGCCCCUCACCACAUACCCUUUGCCUUUUAGAACUCAGUGCCAUCCUGGGUGCCCAGGGAAGAGCAGGCUUUGUUCGCACCUCAUCUGCUGCAGAACCACAUCCUGAGGAGUCUCAGCUUAUCCUGGAGGGAAUUGGGAACAGUGUCACUGGGAAGUGAAGGCCUAGACCUGCGGCUUCCACCAGUCUCCUCCUGCAGUGCCACGUGCUGGCAUUUCUCGCCUCACACCAAGAAGCAGCAAGUGGAAAAUUUCAGGAUACAAAGCACAUAACACCCCAUAAGAGAUGAUUAUGUUUUUAGAAGCAAGAGCAAAAUUAUGAAACCUCUAGAGAUUUGGGUCAUGUUACUCCAUUUGAUGAGGAUUCUCACUACCGCCCGCUCCUCCCAUAGGAGCCUACACUAAGUCCAAGUGUGAGCCAUUCACAGACUAGAACACAAGGAGGGAGAGAGACUCUUAAAUGUAAAUAAAAAUGCAAUUCACUCACAACUCUAAAUGAUAAUUGACAUUUCAGCCUCUUUCUUUUAGGCAAAACAGAAGAUACACACUAUUAACAGUUAUUUGAAGCCUUAAAUUACAAUAGCCUGUUAGGUGAUCGGCUUUCUGAUGCAGCACAUUUUAAGAUUUGCCUCUAAAGCUUUGAGCCUUGAGAUUAGGUUAGUUAGGAAGAGGACAACAAAGGGAAGAGAUUAUUCUAAUAAAACUUCCACAGAGGGAAGAAAAUUGAGGAGCUUCAGAUCUCUAAAGCCAAAUUCAACCUGAUCUUUCUAGGUUGGUUAUAAAGCUGGUCCACUUCCAGGAAGUGAUGUGUAGGUGAAUAGGAACAAAAGGUGAAGAAGCAGUAAAACUGUGACCAAGUGGCCAGAUGGGGCUUUUGCCGGCUGAUUGAAAGGAAGUCUACAGACCUAACAUAAGCAGUCAGCCAAAGGUGGCUGUGGGAGGUUGAUUUCUUCCAGAAACUUCCAAGUUGUGGCUACAAAUUUAUUGCCAGAUAUUUUCCCACUGAGAAUACUGAGGUUAUUCACAUAAUCACUUCCUUAACAAAGGAAGAAGCACUUUUAACUUGGGCUGCAUUCCCUUUGUGAGGGUCCACAUUUAGGAUCUCCUGCUACCAUAAGGCCCCUUUUGGGGUCCUUUGGGUGUGGCUGCAUCUCACCAUGUUGAGGAUUGCCUUUUUUUUUUUUUUUUUUCCCAACACAGAGCCUUGCUCUGUCUCCCAGGCUGGAGUGCAGUGGUGCGAUCUUGGCUCACUGCAACCUCUGCCUCCCAGGUUCAAGCAAUUCUCCUGCCUCAGCCUCCCGAGUAGCCGGAAUUACAGGCAUGUGCCACCAUGCUGGGCUAAUUUUUGUAUUUUUAGUGGAGACGGUGUUUCACCAUGUUGGCCAGGCUGGUCUUGAACUCCUGGCCUCAAGUGACCCGCCCACAUUGGCCUCCCAAAGUGCUGGGAUUACAGGCGUGAGCCCCCGCGCCCAGCAAGGAUUGCUGUUUUAAUUCUUGUAUCUUCGUUGCUUCUUUGGUCUUUGCUUAAACAAAACAAUAAAGCUUAAUAGUUGGGGAGAAUGCUGUUACCAGUGUCCUCUAGGAAGGCUGUUAGCAUAUGGCUCUACUGAGCAGCAGUGCCAUCUGGUGCCUGAGAUCAUGUGCUUCAGGCAGUUGUCACACUGCAUCUACAGCCAAGCAUCACAGAAACACUUCACUCAUGUGGUCAGGGAAGGUGGGACUGAUUCACAUGUUAGAGACAGGUCAGAUGGGAAAAUUAAGGCCCAACUUGGUGUUGGGGAAUAACCAUACUCUGGUCUUUCAAGUGUAGUAGCUGAUGAUUCCCAAGAAACUGAUGAAUUUUCUGAGUCCAGACAAAAUUUCCCCAAGCCUGCUCUCUCUGUUGGAUAUACAUAAUAGAGAAAGUCAAAUCAGCCCUUUGGGGUUUGUGGUAAAAAUUCACUCACCCAUUGAAGCCUAAGGUGGCUUUGUACCUUCCAGAUCUCUCAGCAAAUCCCCUGGGCAGAAAUGUCACCUGCUUGCCAUGUCUUUGAGGGGUUCAGGUAAGCCUGGAGAACAGGCUCCUUAGGUCAAAAACCUUGUUUUAAGAGCCACUGUGGUACAGUCAAUGUAACCCACUUGUGCAGAAGCCAUGCUUCCAAGGAAGGUCUCAGGUUGACAACUAGACAUCAAAUCUGAGAAGCCAACUGUGGAGUAAUGUGUUUUUUUCUCUGUGGACAAGAGAGAUCAGAAAGGUGCUUGAUCUUGAACAAUUGAUCCAUAAUGAAAAAAUGACCAUUAGCUCUCCCCUAGAAGCGGCUGUGUUUGCUGAAUGGAGCUGAGAUUUUGAUCCGCUAUCAGACUCCAGAAAGAUCCAGGAGUUCCAAGAACAUGGCAAAGAGUCAAAAAUCUUAGGACAAGGAAUUAAAAUGCCAGAAUGCAAAUGUCCAACAGGCCUGGUAGCUCACAGCUAUCAACACCCUAGAAUUCCACACUGCCUCACUGCAGUUGCUCAAGGAUGGGUAUGUUUCCGUCUCUGAAAUUUGGGAAAAAGCCUUAAGUGCCAGAGAAGGUGCUUCCAAGACUGUCUGCAGAAUUCCUUUCCUAGGGUCUGUCUCUGGUACCCAAAAGGGCAGAGAAGGAACCCUAAGAUUAGCAUAGAGCCACUCAUCUCUCCUCCCCUCACCACCCCUUCUUCUCGUGCUUCCAUUCCCUAUGGCCCUCUCCUCUGACUGUGACACACACUUCCUCUCCAGCAGUGUUGGGAAAGUUCUGGACCUCUACUGGAUCUAGCCAUAAAUGGUGGUCUUCAGAAAAAUGGAGAUUGUGGCUGCCAGCACCCACAAGACAGCAGCCUCAUGCCAUGCAGGCAGCAAGCCAUCCUGAACAGCGUUCCUCCCAGAGUCUGUUUCCUCACCUGCUGUUCACUGGUGAGAGGAAAAGGGACUUGUUCUCCCUUGACCAGUUUUCUAGUUUUCCUGUUCCCACCCUGGUCUUUGCCUGAUGACAGAGAAACUUUCUAAAAAAAAAAAAAAAAAAAAAAAAGCUAUAAAAAGUCUGCAAAACACCCUAUCAGAAGUCAACGAUUUCCUUAAAAAUACAUCUACUUCCUUCCUGUCCUUCUUAUCUUCUCCCUUGCCCCAGACAGGUGUGCUUGCAGGCAUCCAGCUGCCUGCAUCAGAGCUCCCCUUGAAGGCAGGUGCACAGCUGGGCUCCACGUUGGAGGGCAACAGCAGAGCUGCCACUUAUAGCCGGUCUUUCAACCCUGCUGUCCCCCAGCCCACCCACAAUGGCUCAAAAGGCUUGUCUUCUGAGAAAGACUUGCUGCUAGCCAAUCAUCACAGUCACUUUCCAGUUAUGUUAAGUGGCAUCAGAGCGUUGAUUAGCACUUACGGUAUGCAAGACAUGGUAGGAGGAAAAGGGAAUUAUAGACAGAAACCAUGUGAAAGUAUAAAAGUCACUGAUAAACUAGAUACACGAAUGAGAAACAAAUCAAGCAUUAUCAUCACAGAAAACCACCAAAUCGCAAAAGAUAAGAAAGGGAUCAGGCAUGGUGGCUCAUCCCUGUAAUCCCAGCACUUUGGAAGGCUGAGGUGGGAGAACUGCCUAAGGUCAAGAGUUUGAGACCAGCCAAGGCAACUUAGUGAGACCCUGUCUCUUAUUAAAAAAAGGAAAGGAAAAUUUUUUUUCCAGAGGAAGAAAGUAACAAAGGACAUAUAAAACAUCAGAAACCAAUUAACAAAAUGACAGGAAUAAGUCCUCACUCAUCAAUAACAACCUUGAAUGUAAAGAGUUCAAACUUCCCAAUUAAAAUAUAUAGCCUUGUUUAGCCGGGCAUGGUGCCACAUGCCUGUAAUCUCAGCUACUAAGGAGGCUGAGGCAGGAGAAUCACUUGAACCCGGGAGGUGGAGGUUGCAGUGAGCCGAGAUCAUGCCACUGCACUCCAGCUUGGGUGACAGAGUGAGACUAUCUCCAAAAAAAUACAAUUAAAAAAAUAUAUAUACACACACACAUAUACCCUUGCUGAGUGGGUUAGAAAAACAAGAUCCAGGCGAGGCAUGGUGACUCACAACUGUAAUCCCCAUGCUUUGGGAAGCUGAGGCAGGAGGAUGUCGCUUGAGUUCAAUACCAGCCUGGGCAACAGAGCAAGACCAC
rnacentral:lncRNA from 1 species